GUGGGGGAUAACCAUUGGAAACGAUGGCUAAUACCGCAUAAUAGCCUACGGGCCAAAGAGGGGGACCUUCGGGCCUCUCGCGUCAGGAUAUGCCUAGGUGGGAUUAGCUAGUUGGUGAGGUAAUGGCUCACCAAGGCGACGAUCCCUAGCUGGUCUGAGAGGAUGAUCAGCCACACUGGAACUGAGACACGGUCCAGACUCCUACGGGAGGCAGCAGUGGGGAAUAUUGCACAAUGGGCGCAAGCCUGAUGCAGCCAUGCCGCGUGUGUGAAGAAGGCCUUCGGGUUGUAAAGCACUUUCAGUCGGGAGGAAGGUAGUGUAGUUAAUAGCUGCUUUAUUUGACGUUACCGACAGAAGAAGCACCGGCUAACUCCGUGCCAGCAGCCGCGGUAAUACGGAGGGUGCGAGCGUUAAUCGGAAUUACUGGGCGUAAAGCGCAUGCAGGUGGUUUGUUAAGUCAGAUGUGAAAGCCCGGGGCUCAACCUCGGAAUAGCAUUUGAAACUGGCUGACUAGAGUACUGUAGAGGGGGGUAGAAUUUCAGGUGUAGCGGUGAAA
rnacentral:rRNA from 1 species